rnacentral:rRNA from 1 species
AAACUGGGAUUAGAUACCCCACUAUGCCCAGCCGUAAACUUAAUUUACACCUCUAAUCGCCCGGGAACUACGAGCUAAGCUUAAAACCCAAAGGACUUGACGGUACCCCAAAUCCCCCUAGAGGAGCCUGUCCUAUAAUCGAUAACCCCCGUUAAACCUCACCACUCCUUGUCUAUCAGCCUGUAUACCUCCGUCGCCAGCUUACCGCGUGAGCGCUAUUAAGUGAGCUUAAUGCCCAUACGCCCAUACGUCAGGUCAAGGUGCAGCUAAUGAAGUGGGAAGAGAUGGGCUACACUUUCUACCAUAGAAAACACGAAAGACUAUCUAUGAAAUCUAGUCAAAAGGAGGAUUUAGUAGUAAAAAGAAAGCAGAGCGUUCUUUUUAA